GGGGUUGUGGCUCAGAGGUAGAGUGUCUGCCUAGUACGCAUGAGGUACUGGGUUCGAUCCUCAGCACCACA
rnacentral:tRNA from 1 species